rnacentral:tRNA from 3 species
GGAUUGCGAGCAGCAUUGGUGACUGCAGCGGACUGUAAAUCCGCCGCCCGCAAGGCAACUAGGUUCGAUUCCCAGGCAAUCCACCA